rnacentral:rRNA from 1 species
AAACUGCGAUGAUUUAGUCUGGCUGUGUAGAUAACUACGUGAAAAUGUAGCUAAGGGAAGGCAGAAUAAGACGCAUGACUAUCAGUUAGUUGGUAGUGUAAUGGACUACCAAGACAGUGACGGUUGACGGGAAAUUAGGGUUUUGUACCGGAGAGGGAGCCUGAGAGAUUGCUCCCACGUCCAAGGACGGCAGCAGGCGCGAAAAUUGCCCACUCUUUGCAGGAGGCAGUUAUGAGACGUGAAGAUGAGUAUCUUGUAAAGAGGGAUAGGAGAAUUGGAGGGCAAGUUUGGUGCCAGCAGCCGCGGUAAUACCGACUCCAAGAGUGUGUAUGAGAGAUGCUGCAGUUAAAAAGUCCGUAGUCAUAGAAGGGCAAAGAGAGACGCGAGGUCUCACAGUGCGAUGAUGGAGGAGCCGAUGGGGAACAUAGUAUACCAGGGCGAGAGAUGAAAUGCCAAGACCCCUGGUGGACUGAGCGAGGCGAAGGCGAUGUUCUUGUAGGCAUUCGGUGAUCAAGGACGAAGGCUGGAGUAUCGAAAGUGAUUAGAUACCGCAGUAGUUCCAGCAGUAAAAGAUGCCGACAUGCUCAUUGGACACAGUGGGCAGGGAGAAAUCUUAGAGUUCGGGCUCUGGGGAUAGUAUGCUCGCAAGGGUGAAAAUU